CCUACGGGGGGCAGCAGUGAGGAAUAUUGGUCAAUGGACGAGAGUCUGAACCAGCCAAGUAGCGUGAAGGAUGACUGCUCUAUGGGUUGUAAACUUCUUUUAUAUGGGAAUAAAACGUUCCACGUGUGGGAUUUUGUAUGUACCAUAUGAAUAAGGAUCGGCUAACUCCGUGCCAGCAGCAGCGGUAAUACGGAGGAUCCGAGCGUUAUCCGGAUUUAUUGGGUUUAAAGGGAGCGUAGGUGGAUUGUUAAGUCAGUUGUGAAAGUUUGCGGCUCAACCGUAAAAUUGCAGUUGAAACUGGCAGUCUUGAGUACAGUAGAGGUGGGCGGAAUUCGUGGUGUAGCGGUGAAAUGCUUAGAUAUCACGUAGAACUCCGAUUGCGAAGGCAGUUCACUGGACUGCAACUGACACUGAGGCUCGAAAGUGUGGGUAUCAAACAGGAUUAGAUACCCGAGUAGUC
rnacentral:rRNA from 1 species